ensembl:ncRNA K06C4.22 ncRNA
GUACGUGGGCAUGAAUGAAUGGACAUUUCAAUUUUAUAUUCUGACACCAUAAUUUUCUCUUUUUUUUGUUCGCUAACCGAUUUAGAAACAACCCCGUGUCGGACAUCAUGCUCGCCCUGCAUCGUCCCUUAAUCCAAUUGUUCGAAAAAGAAGGUCAGAAGAGCAUGAGAAUUCGAUGUUU